UCCCUGGUGGCUCAGAGAUUAAAGGUUCUGCCUGCAAUGCAGGAGACCCAGGUUCAAUCCCUGGGUCGGGAA
rnacentral:tRNA from 1 species